GACGAACGCUGGCGGCGUGCUUAACACAUGCGAGUCGAACGGAAAGGCCCUGCUUUUGUGGGGUGCUCGAGUGGCGAACGGGUGAGUAACACGCGAGUAACCUGCCCUUGACUUUGGGAUAACUUCAGGAAACUGGGGCUAAUACCGGAUAGGAGCUCCUGCUGCAUGGUGGGGGGUGGAAAGUUUCGGCGGUUGGGGAUGGACUCGCGGCUUAUCAGCUUGUUGGUGGGGUAGUGGCUUACCAAGGCUUUGACGGGUAGCCGGCCUGAGAGGGUGACCGGCCACAUUGGGACUGAGAUACGGCCCAGACUCCUACGGGAGGCAGCAGUGGGGAAUAUUGCACAAUGGGCGGAAGCCUGAUGCAGCAACGCCGCGUGCGGGAUGACGGCCUUCGGGUUGUAAACCGCUUUCGCCUGUGACGAAGCGUGAGUGACGGUAAUGGGUAAAGAAGCACCGGCUAACUACGUG
rnacentral:rRNA from 1 species